rnacentral:piRNA from 1 species
UCGGAUAACUGGAAACCCACA